rnacentral:rRNA from 1 species
CAUGCAAGUCGAACGAAGCACUUAAGAUUGACUCUUCGGAUGAUUUCUUUUGUGACUUAGUGGCGGACGGGUGAGUAACGCGUGGGUAACCUGCCUCACACAGGGGGAUAACAGUUAGAAAUGACUGCUAAUACCGCAUAACCCGAUAGGAUCGCAUGAUCCAGACGGAAAAGAUUUAUCGGUGUGAGAUGGACCCGCGUCUGAUUAGCUAGUUGGUGAGGUAACGGCCCACCAAGGCGACGAUCAGUAGCCGGCCUGAGAGGGUGAACGGCCACAUUGGGACUGAGACACGGCCCAAACUCCUACGGGAGGCAGCAGUGGGGAAUAUUGCACAAUGGGGGAAACCCUGAUGCAGCGACGCCGCGUGAGUGAAGAAGUAUUUCGGUAUGUAAAGCUCUAUCAGCAGGGAAGAAAAUGACGGUACCUGACUAAGAAGCCCCGGCUAACUACGUGCCAGCAGCCGCGGUAAUACGUAGGGGGCAAGCGUUAUCCGGAUUUACUGGGUGUAAAGGGAGCGUAGACGGUCAAGCAAGUCAGAAGUGAAAGGCUGGGGCUCAACCCCGGGACUGCUUUUGAAACUGUUUGACUAGAGUGCUGGAGAGGUAAGCGGAAUUCCUAGUGUAGCGGUGAAAUGCGUAGAUAUUAGGAGGAACACCAGUGGCGAAGGCGGCUUACUGGACAGUAACUGACGUUGAGGCUCGAAAGCG